CCUCCUGUGGCCACUAACUAAAUCUUUGUGUUUUCUUCUUUUGCUCAGGGCCCUAUGCUCCUAUCACUUUAGUGAGAAUAGUGCCAGUGAUUCACAAGGUGGUGAAUGCGACCUGGAGAGAAGCUUAUGAUCAUUUGAUGUGCUGAGACCAUGAAGCGGAAAGGAGGGCCACCAUGACAGGCGGCGCAUCCAGAUCACCGAGGAGCCGCCCCUAGAUCGGCCAUGGUGCGACCGAGCAGAGCGGGUGAGGGGGGAAACUACGUCGCUCUCUCUCUCUCCAUCUGUCUCGUGUGGGGACGCAACCCUUCCUUUGCUUGCUCCCAGCACAGCCCGACCGCAUCCACAUCGGCCACAACCACGGCACCGGCAACCAUGUGCUUCUUCUCCAUGGAAAUGGACAUGGAGCUCCAAACCACAGAAUGAGAAUGCAAGGUUAACCGCAGUGCACAGUGGCGGCGCUCACGUCUGCAUCAUCCGCAUCCGUCCCUGCUGCAAGGACCGCCAGUGGUUAUGGAAGACGCUACAGAUGAAUCAGGUCAUCUCAUCCGGACAUUAUGACAAAAGUUUCUAGACCCUGCUUGUUGUCGUAACAAUUGCACAAGGUCAGGGUUUUAUGACACCUGACUUCACGUGAGUUGCUUCAGGCUCAACGUCGACUUUGCUACAUUAUCUCGAUUUGUGUUGCAUGCCACUUUGAACUUCUACCUAGGCAAUGCGUGGCUUGCCACGCUUUACAUUGGUUCAACCAGCCCUCUCAUCAAGUAUUAUGUUUGCGGGGUGAAUAAGACACUGGUCACUCCUGGACAAAGGAUGUCGAGGACAUGAUGGUCAGUCUCAGCGCUGGAGAUGUUACGAGACAGGUUUGGCGCAUAAGAGGAACACAAUAACAAAGCAAUUUGUCAGACUGUCAAGGCGGGAGAGAGAGUCUCAAAUGUGUGUCUUCGCCUUUAAAAUUGGAAGGGGGAAACCAACGCUCGCUCUCUAUAAUAAGCUUUAAAAAGCUAAGGUAGAAAAUCACAAGUCUAUACAGAAAUCAUUAUAUGCCAUGUAUCUCCCGGACUAUUUGCAUCGGGUUCAUGUGAAGUACCGCCUAUGAAGUUGAUCGACAAGGCAAUUGAAUGGAGCUACUUUUCAGUAUGCCUAAUAGCUAUGGCUUUGUAGAUUUACGGUCUCUAUUGUCAUUGUGUUUGUAUUUUUCUUUUUUAUUAUGCUCUAACUCUUUGUAAUUGCUCUCAUGUUCACGCUCUUCGUACUGAGCUUUUUGUGGUCCCAUGA